AUUCUGGCUCAGGAUGAACGCUGGCGGCGUGCUUAACACAUGCAAGUCGAACGGGAUCCAUCAAGCUUGCUUGGUGGUGAGAGUGGCGAACGGGUGAGUAAUGCGUGACCGACCUGCCCCAUACACCGGAAUAGCUCCUGGAAACGGGUGGUAAUGCCGGAUGCUCCGACUCCUCGCAUGGGGUGUCGGGAAAGAUUUCAUCGGUAUGGGAUGGGGUCGCGUCCUAUCAGGUAGUCGGCGGGGUAACGGCCCACCGAGCCUACGACGGGUAGCCGGCCUGAGAGGGCGACCGGCCACAUUGGGACUGAGAUACGGCCCAGACUCCUACGGGAGGCAGCAGUGGGGAAUAUUGCACAAUGGGCGCAAGCCUGAUGCAGCCAUGCCGCGUGUAUGAAGAAGGCCUUCGGGUUGUAAAGUACUUUCAGCGGGGAGGAAGGGAGUAAAGUUAAUACCUUUGCUCAUUGACGUUACCCGCAGAAGAAGCACCGGCUAACUCCGUGCCAGCAGCCGCGGUAAUACGGAGGGUGCAAGCGUUAAUCGGAAUUACUGGGCGUAAAGCGCACGCAGGCGGUUUGUUAAGUCAGAUGUGAAAUCCCCGGGCUCAACCUGGGAACUGCAUCUGAUACUGGCAAGCUUGAGUCUCGUAGAGGGGGGUAGAAUUCCAGGUGUAGCGGUGAAAUGCGUAGAGAUCUGGAGGAAUACCGGUGGCGAAGGCGGCCCCCUGGACGAAGACUGACGCUCAGGUGCGAAAGCGUGGGGAGCAAACAGGAUUAGAUACCCUGGUAGUCCACGCCGUAAACGAUGUCGACUUGGAGGUUGUGCCCUUGAGGCGUGGCUUCCGGAGCUAACGCGUUAAGUCGACCGCCUGGGGAGUACGGCCGCAAGGUUAAAACUCAAAUGAAUUGACGGGGGCCCGCACAAGCGGUGGAGCAUGUGGUUUAAUUCGAUGCAACGCGAAGAACCUUACCUGGUCUUGACAUCCACGGAAGUUUUCAGAGAUGAGAAUGUGCCUUCGGGAACCGUGAGACAGGUGCUGCAUGGCUGUCGUCAGCUCGUGUUGUGAAAUGUUGGGUUAAGUCCCGCAACGAGCGCAACCCUUAUCCUUUGUUGCCAGCGGUCCGGCCGGGAACUCAAAGGAGACUGCCAGUGAUAAACUGGAGGAAGGUGGGGAUGACGUCAAGUCAUCAUGGCCCUUACGACCAGGGCUACACACGUGCUACAAUGGCGCAUACAAAGAGAAGCGACCUCGCGAGAGCAAGCGGACCUCAUAAAGUGCGUCGUAGUCCGGAUUGGAGUCUGCAACUCGACUCCAUGAAGUCGGAAUCGCUAGUAAUCGUGGAUCAGAAUGCCACGGUGAAUACGUUCCCGGGCCUUGUACACACCGCCCGUCACACCAUGGGAGUGGGUUGCAAAAGAAGUAGGUAGCUUAACCUUCGGGAGGGCGCUUACCACUUUGUGAUUCAUGACUGGGGUGAAGUCGUAACAAGGUAACCGUAGGGGAACCUGCGGUUG
rnacentral:rRNA from 1 species